AGACCCGAAACCCGGUGAUCUAGCCAUGGGCAGGUUGAAGGUUGGGUAACACUAACUGGAGGACCGAACCGACUAAUGUUGAAAAAUUAGCGGAUGACCUGUGGCUGGGGGUGAAAGGCCAAUCAAACCGGGAGAUAGCUGGUUCUCCCCGAAAGCUAUUUAGGUAGCGCCUCGUGAAUUCAUCUCCGGGGGUAGAGCACUGUUUCGGCUAGGGGGCCAUCCCGGCUUACCAACCCGAUGCAAACUGCGAAUACCGGAGAAUGUUAUCACGGGAGACACACGGCGGGUGCUAACGUCCGUCGUGAAGAGGGAAACAACCCAGACCGCCAGCUAAGGUCCCAAAGUCAUGGUUAAGUGGGAAACGAUGUGGGAAGGCCCAGACAGCCAGGAUGUUGGCUUAGAAGCAGCCAUCAUUUAAAGAAAGCGUAAUAGCUCACUGGUCGAGUCGGCCUGCGCGGAAGAUGUAACGGGGCUAAACCAUGCACCGAAGCUGCGGCAGCGACGCUGAUGCGUUGUUGGGUAGGGGAGCGUUCUGUAAGCCUGUGAAGGUGGCCUGUGAGGGUUGCUGGAGGUAUCAGAAGUGCGAAUGCUGACAUAAGUAACGAUAAAGCGGGUGAAAAGCCCGCUCGCCGGAAGACCAAGGGUUCCUGUCCAACGUUAAUCGGGGCAGGGUGAGUCGACCCCUAAGGCGAGGCCGAAAGGCGUAGUCGAUGGGAAACGGGUUAAUAUUCCCGUACUUGGUGUUACUGCGAAGGGGGGACGGAGAAGGCUAUGUUGGCCGGGCGACGGUUGUCCCGGUUUAAGCGUGUAGGUGUGUGUUCCAGGUAAAUCCGGUUCACUUUAACAC
rnacentral:rRNA from 1 species